CAGAGGUCUCAAGCGUUGUUCGGAUUCAUUGGGGCGUAAAGGGUGUGUAGGUGGCGCCGUAAGUCGGGUAGUGAAAUUUCGGAGCUUAACUCCGAAACUGCAUUCGAUACUGCGGUGCUUGAGGACUGGAGAGGAGACUGGAAUUCAUGGUGUAGCAGUGAAAUGCGUAGAGAUCAUGAGGAAGACCAGUGGCGAAGGCGGGUCUCUGGACAGUUCCUGACACUGAGACACGAGGCCAGGGGAGCAAACGGGAUUAGAUACCCCGGUAGUCCUGGCAGUAAACGGUGCACGUUUGGUGUGGGAGGAUUCGACCCCUUCUGCGCCGGAGCUAACGCGUUAAACGUGCCGCCGUGGGGAGUACGGUCGCAAGAUUAA
rnacentral:rRNA from 1 species